rnacentral:rRNA from 1 species
UACGUAGGUGACCAGCGUUGUCCGGAUUUACUGGGCGUAAAGAGCGCGCAGGCGGUCGUUCAAGUCGAGUGUGAAAGCCCCCGGCUCAACUGGGGAGGGUCAUUCGAUACUGAUCGACUUGAAGGCAGGAGAGGGAAGUGGAAUUCCCGGUGUAGUGGUGAAAUGCGUAGAUAUCGGGAGGAACACCAGUGGCGAAGGCGACUUCCUGGCCUGUUCUUGACGCUGAGACGCGAAAGCUAGGGGAGCAAACGGG